rnacentral:rRNA from 1 species
GACGAACGCUGGCGGCGUGCCUAAUACAUGCAGGUAGAACGCUGAAGGAGGAGCUUGCUCUUCUGGAUGAGUUGCGAACGGGUGAGUAACGCGUAGGUAACCUGCCUGGUAGUGGGGGAUAACUAUUGGAAACGAUAGCUAAUACCGCAUAAUAGCAGUUGUUGCAUGACAACUGUUUGAAAGGUGCAAUUGCGCCACUACCAGAUGGACCUGCGUUGUAUUAGCUAGUUGGUGGGGUAACGGCUCACCAAGGCGACGAUACAUAGCCGACCUGAGAGGGUGAUCGGUCACACUGGGACUGAGACACGGCCCAGACUCCUACGGGAGGCAGCAGUAGGGAAUCUUCGGCAAUGGACGGAAGUCUGACCGAGCAACGCCGCGUGAGUGAAGAAGGUUUUCGGAUCGUAAAGCUCUGUUGUAAGAGAAGAACGAGUGUGAGAGUGGAAAGUUCACACUGUGACGGUAUCUUACCAGAAAGGGACGGCUAACUACGUGCCAGCAGCCGCGGUAAUACGUAGGUCCCGAGCGUUGUCCGGAUUUAUUGGGCGUAAAGCGAGCGCAGGCGGUUAGAUAAGUCUGAAGUUAAAGGCUGUGGCUUAACCAUAGUACGCUUUGGAAACUGUUUAACUUGAGUGCAAGAGGGGAGAGUGGAAUUCCAUGUGUAGCGGUGAAAUGCGUAGAUAUAUGGAGGAACACCGGUGGCGAAAGCGGCUCUCUGGCUUGUAACUGACGCUGAGGCUCGAAAGCGUGGGGAGCAAACAGG